GUGUGUGAUGACUUGCUUUUUCUUCACUUUGACCUGACUGUUCAGUGAUGAUAACAAAUGUCUGAAG